rnacentral:rRNA from 1 species
UAGGGAAUCUUCGGCAAUGGACGAAAGUCUGACCGAGCAACGCCGCGUGAGUGAAGAAGGUUUUCGGAUCGUAAAACUCUGUUGUUAGAGAAGAACAAGUACGUUAGUAACUGAACGUCCCCUGACGGUAUCUAACCAGAAAGCCACGGCUAACUACGUGCCAGCAGCCGCGGUAAUACGUAGGUGGCAAGCGUUGUCCGGAUUUAUUGGGCGUAAAGCGAGCGCAGGCGGUUUCUUAAGUCUGAUGUGAAAGCCCCCGGCUCAACCGGGGAGGGUCAUUGGAAACUGGGAGACUUGAGUGCAGAAGAGGAGAGUGGAAUUCCAUGUGUAGCGGUGAAAUGCGUAGAUAUAUGGAGGAACACCAGUAGCGAAGGCGGCUCUCUGGUCUGUAACUGACGCUGAGGCUCGAAAGCGUGGGGAGCAAACAGG